rnacentral:tRNA from 1 species
GGACGCGUAGCUCAGCCGGAUAGAGUACCUGGCUACGAACCAGGCGGUCGCAGGUUCGACUCCUGCCGCGUCCGCCA